rnacentral:ncRNA from 1 species
CAUUUUCCGGAGACGGAUUAUGGGGUAUUCAGAAGUCAGCCGAAGUCGUAGUACCGCAAGAAUGGGAAGGAC